CCACCACCAAAGCAUUUGCUGUACCGCGUUGACGGAGCGAAGCGACGUCAAACCGAUAAAACAGCAGUGUAAAGUGAGCCGCAGGGCGCUUUGCGCGACAGCGCAAAGGCAGGCGGUUUCGCGUAGCGAAAGCGAAUGCUUUGGGGUGGGGUGACUGCGUACCUUUUGUAUAAUGGGUCAGCGACUUAUAUUCUGUAGCAAGGUUAACCGAAUAGGGGAGCCGGAGGGAAACCGAGUCUUAAUUGGGCGUUAAGUUGCAGGGUAUAGACCCGAAACCCGGUGAUCUAGCCAUGGGCAGGUUGAAGGUUGGGUAACACUAACUGGAGGACCGAACCGACUAAUGUUGAAAAAUUAGCGGAUGACCUGUGGCUGGGGGUGAAAGGCCAAUCAAACCGGGAGAUAGCUGGUUCUCCCCGAAAGCUAUUUAGGUAGCGCCUCGUGAAUUCAUCUCCGGGGGUAGAGCACUGUUUCGGCUAGGGGGCCAUCCCGGCUUACCAACCCGAUGCAAACUGCGAAUACCGGAGAAUGUUAUCACGGGAGACACACGGCGGGUGCUAACGUCCGUCGUGAAGAGGGAAACAACCCAGACCGCCAGCUAAGGUCCCAAAGUCAUGGUUAAGUGGGAAACGAUGUGGGAAGGCCCAGACAGCCAGGAUGUUGGCUUAGAAGCAGCCAUCAUUUAAAGAAAGCGUAAUAGCUCACUGGUCGAGUCGGCCUGCGCGGAAGAUGUAACGGGGCUAAACCAUGCACCGAAGCUGCGGCAGCGACGCUUAUGCGUUGUUGGGUAGGGGAGCGUUCUGUAAGCCUGCGAAGGUGGCCUGUGAGGGUUGCUGGAGGUAUCAGAAGUGCGAAUGCUGACAUAAGUAACGAUAAAGCGGGUGAAAAGCCCGCUCGCCGGAAGACCAAGGGUUCCUGUCCAACGUUAAUCGGGGCAGGGUGAGUCGACCCCUAAGGCGAGGCCGAAAGGCGUAGUCGAUGGGAAACGGGUUAAUAUUCCCGUACUUGGUGUUACUGCGAAGGGGGGACGGAGAAGGCUAUGUUGGCCGGGCGACGGUUGUCCCGGUUUAAGCGUGUAGGUGUGUGUUCCAGGUAAAUCCGGUUCACUUUAACACUGAGGCGUGACGACGAGGCACUACGGUGCUGAAGCAACAAAUGCCCUGCUUCCAGGAAAAGCCUCUAAGCAUCAGGUAACAUCAAAUCGUACCCCAAACCGACACAGGUGGUCAGGUAGAGAAUACCAAGGCGCUUGAGAGAACUCGGGUGAAGGAACUAGGCAAAAUGGUGCCGUAACUUCGGGAGAAGGCACGCUGACACGUAGGUGAAGUGAUUUACUCAUGGAGCUGAAGUCAGUCGAAGAUACCAGCUGGCUGCAACUGUUUAUUAAAAACACAGCACUGUGCAAACACGAAAGUGGACGUAUACGGUGUGACGCCUGCCCGGUGCCGGAAGGUUAAUUGAUGGGGUCAGCGCAAGCGAAGCUCCUGAUCGAAGCCCCGGUAAACGGCGGCCGUAACUAUAACGGUCCUAAGGUAGCGAAAUUCCUUGUCGGGUAAGUUCCGACCUGCACGAAUGGCGUAAUGAUGGCCAGGCUGUCUCCACCCGAGACUCAGUGAAAUUGAACUCGCUGUGAAGAUGCAGUGUACCCGCGGCAAGACGGAAAGACCCCGUGAACCUUUACUAUAGCUUGACACUGAACAUUGAGCCUUGAUGUGUAGGAUAGGUGGGAGGCUUUGAAGUGUGGACGCCAGUCUGCAUGGAGCCGACCUUGAAAUACCACCCUUUAAUGUUUGAUGUUCUAACGUGGACCCGUUACCCGGGUUGCGGACAGUGUCUGGUGGGUAGUUUGACUGGGGCGGUCUCCUCCUAAAGAGUAACGGAGGAGCACGAAGGUUGGCUAAUCCUGGUCGGACAUCAGGAGGUUAGUGCAAUGGCAUAAGCCAGCUUGACUGCGAGCGUGACGGCGCGAGCAGGUGCGAAAGCAGGUCAUAGUGAUCCGGUGGUUCUGAAUGGAAGGGCCAUCGCUCAACGGAUAAAAGGUACUCCGGGGAUAACAGGCUGAUACCGCCCAAGAGUUCAUAUCGACGGCGGUGUUUGGCACCUCGAUGUCGGCUCAUCACAUCCUGGGGCUGAAGUAGGUCCCAAGGGUAUGGCUGUUCGCCAUUUAAAGUGGUACGCGAGCUGGGUUUAGAACGUCGUGAGACAGUUCGGUCCCUAUCUGCCGUGGGCGCUGGAGAACUGAGGGGGGCUGCUCCUAGUACGAGAGGACCGGAGUGGACGCAUCACUGGUGUUCGGGUUGUCAUGCCAAUGGCACUGCCCGGUAGCUAAAUGCGGAAGAGAUAAGUGCUGAAAGCAUCUAAGCACGAAACUUGCCCCGAGAUGAGUUCUCCCUGAGACUUAAAGUCUCCUGAAGGAACGUUGAAGACGACGACGUUG
rnacentral:rRNA from 1 species